UACAGAGGUCUCAAGCGUUGUUCGGAUUCAUUGGGCGUAAAGGGUGCGUAGGCGGGUUUCUAAGUCAGAGGUGAAAGCCUGGAGCUCAACUCCAGAACUGCCUUUGAUACUGGAAGUCUUGAGUUCGGGAGAGGUGAGUGGAACUGCGAGUGUAGAGGUGAAAUUCGUAGAUAUUCGCAAGAACACCAGUGGCGAAGGCGGCUCACUGGCCCGAUACUGACGCUGAGGCACGAAAGCGUGGGGAGCAAACAGG
rnacentral:rRNA from 1 species